UACGGAGGGUGCAAGCGUUAUCCGGAUUCACUGGGUUUAAAGGGUGCGUAGGUGGGUCUGUAAGUCAGUGGUGAAAUCUCCAGGCUUAACCUGGAAACUGCCAUUGAUACUAUAGGUCUUGAAUUUUCUGGAGGUCAGCGGAAUAUGUCAUGUAGCGGUGAAAUGCUUAGAUAUGACAUAGAACACCAAUUGCGAAGGCAGCUGGCUACAGGAACAUUGACACUGAGGCACGAAAGCGUGGGGAUCAAACAGG
rnacentral:rRNA from 1 species